rnacentral:lncRNA from 1 species
CGACGCCCAUGGUUACACUCACACGUGUACAACAGCGAUCUUCACAAAUAACAUGAAAAGUGGACGUCUGAGGGACUGCCUAUGUGCUUUCAUUGCAAGUAUUUAAGAAGGUGAGUUUUCUCACAAAACGUAAAUACACUAGCAGCAAAUCCUGUCACUCCGGAUCAUGCCAUUAUGGUCGUUAUUUACGGAGGUAGUCCAGUAAAUUGGCCACAUGGGGCGGUGUGGCCAUUCUACCCACUAUUUGGUUCUUCGCAAGGCAUGUUCGUGCAAGCCUUGGACCGUUCAGCUCACCAACACCCCAGCAUAAAUUAAGUGCGGAUACGACACAAAGGUGUGCGCGGAUCAUCCGGGAUGUUUCGACAUGUGGCUUACAGCUCCCACCAGACCUAUGUUCUUGCAACUCAAUGGUUCUUGAGUCUGGAGUGCUGAAUGGUAACACAUACCAACCGAUGAAAACUGGUGUGCAAAUGAAUAGAAGUUUUCAUCGGACGACGUCAGCUCGCCCCCACCUAUCCGUGCAAACACCUCUUCGCGAACCCCUGCUGUUGCUCCAGUCAGCCAGCAACCUCCCUCGUUGGACCGGUCCUCGGGAUCCCACGCUGCGGUGUAUGUAGGACACGAUGCCAUAGGCUAGGGCUACGAGCAACCCGGGCUCCUCUCUCCUUAGUUCACCGGGCAUUCAUUCAUGAAGUGAGGCAUACCUGGUCCAUGGCUAGACCGGCAGCUGUUGGUGAAAAGAAAGACAGCAGCCACUUGAUGGAAAUGUCGACGCCAGAACUUAAAGUGAUGGCCACGUACACCACGGUCAGAAUCAAGGGUUCAAUGUAAGUUCAACUUGAUAUCGAAGGCCAUGCAAGAACGGAUUGAUUGUUCCAGCCCUGUUUCAAUCUCCUGAGGAUCCUUGCUUUGCAGAAAGGUGUCGUAAUACUUCACGGUGAAGGGCGGCGAGACGUAAAGGAUGUUCACUCCUCCAAGCUCAACUUUUGUACAUCGGCAGGGAUCCUCAAUUGGGAUCAUCCAGCGAAAUGAAGAGAUCGCAGAGUUUCACCAUAUCGACCAUGCUGACGGAUAAUUGCUAUUGCUGUUAUGGACCGGAAAAGUCGCUCCAGUACGCAUGGAAACGCGGUAUUCAAAAUAGCAACCAAUACCAUUGUACCAAUAUGCUAUAUUCUAACGGUGUAUUUUCGGGCGAGACACCAAGCAGGCAGAUUGAAGACCCACUCCACUCUGAAAGAGAGAGAAAAACUGAGAGAGGGUGAAAUUUAUAAUCCAAGAAACCCAUUUGCUAACGUUUUGAUUGUGUUCCGUUUUAUGUCAUUGUUUUUGUUGAUCUCCGAGGGUCAGCCUUUAUAGUCCCCUGACUGAAGUUUGAACCUAUCUCACUGACUCAGUGACUGACUGUCACUUUUCGAAUUAGACUUGCUCAAUCCUUAUUUUGGCCAAAAAUUAAGUUGACUUUACAUAGACAUCUAAGACCAAACUGGUUUGCGACCAGUUUUGCUAGGAUUGUUUUACUUCAAGACUUUUCUAAGAGUGGGUUUAGAAAAAAAAAAGAAAUACCAACAAUUCUGAUUUAAACCCCUUUUCUCGUACAAUAAAAAAAAAUGGAGUCUUCCAUCCUGAAACGAUUCCCAUGACAACCAGGAAAAAUACAGAACUACCAAUAUUGUAGGGGAGAAAUUCUGAAGGUUACUGUUUGAAAGACGUGCUAACAAGCGCCGCAAUUGGGCUACAGGCGUGAAUUUCCAAUCUCGAACUGUUUGUUACGGUUGGAAGAAGGCGCCA